rnacentral:rRNA from 1 species
GUGCAGCAGGCGAGAAUCCUUCGCAAUGCAGGAAACUGCGACGAGGGAACUCCAAGUGCCUACGCUCAGCGUAGGCUGUUCUCAAGCCUAGAAAGCUUGAGGAGUAAGGGCUGGGUAAGACGGGUGCCAUCUGUGGUAGCAGUCAAUAGAUUCGAUUUGUUACUGCAAGGCAUAAGCCGCCGCGGUAAUACCCGCAGCCCAAGUGGUGGCCGCUUUUAUUGGGCCUAAAGCGUCCGUAGCCGGCCCGGUAAAUGCCUGGGGUAAAUCGUGGAGCCCAACUUCACGAAUUCCGGGUA